rnacentral:rRNA from 1 species
CCCCUAGAUGUUCUGGGCCGCACGCGCGCUACACUGAACAGUUCAACAAGUCUUAACCUUGGCCGAUAGGUCUGGGUAAUCUUUGAACGCUGUUCGUGAUUGGGAUAGACCUUUGCAAUUAUGGGUCUUCAACGAGGAAUUCCUAGUAAACGCAAGUCAUCAGCUUGCAUUGAUUACGUCCCUGCCCUUUGUACACACCGCCCGUCGUACCUACCGAUUGAAUGGUCCGGUGAAAUCUCGGGACGGCGGCUUGGUCGCUUGCGUCCGACUGCUGAAACUUGAUUAAACCAUAUCAUUUAGAGGAAGGUGAAGUCGUAACA